CCUACGGGAUGCAGCAGUGAGGAAUAUUGGUCAAUGGACGAGAGUCUGAACCAGCCAAGUAGCGUGAAGGAUGACUGCCCUAUGGGUUGUAAACUUCUUUUAUAAAGGAAUAAAACGAGGCACGUGUGCCUUUUUGCAUGUACUUUAUGAAUAAGGAUCGGCUAACUCCGUGCCAGCAGCCGCGGUAAUACGGAGGAUCCGAGCGUUAUCCGGAUUUAGUGGGUUUAAAGGGAGCGUAGAUGGGUUGUUAAGUCAGUUGUGAAAGUUUGCGGCUCAACCGGAAAAUUGCAAUUGAUACUGGCAGUCUUGAGUACAGUUGAGGUAGGCGGAAUGCGUGGUGUAGCGGUGAAAUGCUUAGAUAUCACGAAGAACCCCGAUUGCGAAGGCAGCUUACUAAGCUGUGACUGACAUUGAUGCUCGAAAGUGUGGGUAUCAAACAGGAUUAGAGACCCCAGUAGUC
rnacentral:rRNA from 1 species